ensembl:lncRNA
GUUCAGGUGGAUGGGAAGCUGGACAUGAGCCAGCAAUGUGCUCUUGUAGCCCAGAAAGCCAACCGUAUCCUGGGCUGCAUCAAAAGUGUGGCCAGCAGAGCAAGGGAGGGGAUCCUGCCCUCUUCUCUGCACUGGUGAGACUUCACCAGUGUGGAGACCUCAGUACAGGAGAGACAUGGAUCAGUUGGUGUGCAUCCAGAGGGCCACAGACUCGACCCCAGGGAUGGAACACUGCCCCUAUGAAGAGAGGCUGAGAGCUGGGACUCUUCAGCAUAGAGAAGAGAAGGCUCCAGGGAGACUUGAGAGCAGCCUUUCAGUAUCUAAAGGGGGGUUUAAGAAGGAAGGGGACGGACUCUUUAACAGAGUCUAUUGUGACAGGACAAAGGGAAGUGGUUUCCAAGUAAAAUAAAGGAGAUUUAGAUUGGAUAUAAGGAAGAAGUUUUUUGCAGUCAGGGUGGUGAGGCAGUGGCACAGGUUGCCCAGAGAGGUGGUGGAUGCCCUGUCCCUGGAGACAUUCAAGGUCAGGCUGGAUGGGGCUCUGAGCAACUUAAUGUAGCUGUAGAUCUCUGUUGCAGGAGAAUUGGACCAGAUGACCUUCAAGAGUCCCUUCCAACUCAAAUGACUCUAUGAUUCUAUAAUCUAUUAAUAAGGACGGUACUGCAUGGAACACAUGAUGUUAUCUUUACUUUCUUACCAGUGUAGGUACUAGAAUACGGACAUGAGCCUGUGCUUGGGUGUAUUACCCCUGCAAUUUGUACUUAACACAGAGCAAGAACAGUCCAAAAGGAAACAGUUUUGUUAUUGACUUGACUUCAUACAACACCCUUUGUGUCCUUUACACACAACAUACCUCACAAUAACAAACACAGCAACACAGCCAGACUGACAGAUCUGCCUGCAGACAAGGCUCCUCACAAACACCACUCCUUGUUGCAGCCCCUCCUACUCUUCUUUCUUUCCCUCUUCUUUUCUGGAGAGUUUUCCCCAGAACAAUUCUCCACUUAAAUGGCUAAUCUAGAACCUGUAAAAUCCAGAAACAUUCAUGACACGCUAUGCCUGGAAAAAAACAAUCUUUUGGACCAUCCAACUUUUCAAAUCUUUCCAUCCAUAUGAAAUUUGCCUAGUAAGAUUUGCCUAGAAAAGAUUUCUAUUUAAAAGAUCAUUUAUUAAAAUGUUUUCUUAGGACAUACAAUCUGCUAUAGCGUUACAAUCUAUUUUAUCACAGGGUUUGAUGCCAAUGAACAGCUCAGUGGUCCUAACUUCUUCAGUGCUUACCCUUCUGCACACCACAAACGAUCUCCCACGCUUCACAGCACUAAGAUAACUCAACCUCUUCUAACAGGUACUCAAACCCCCACCUUGAGGCGAUGUAACUUAAGGAGUCUACCUACACAACACAUUUUACCUCUGCUCACAUAUUGAUAUGCUGAGACAGACAGC